ACAGGUAGAGGAGGGGGCGAGAGAGGUUGUAAGAAAUGUUGUUAAUAAAUGUUAGGGAUUAUGUAUGUAAAAUAUCUUUUAAGCCUCACGUUUUUUCUAUGCUGUGCCAUUUUCUGUUAUUAAUAUCAUUUUACAGGUGAGAAUCAAUACCGAUCACUGUUAACGACUUAUCCAAGGUCUCACAGUAAGGAUUCAAGCUCACCACUUGACCAGCACUGUCUCCUAAAUCAUAUUUAUGGUACUGACCUGCCUGAGGUCAGCGUGUAGCUGCAUUAUGUGCCCUGCUUUUCCCCUUUAACAUUUCAUAUAGGUAAUCACCCGGGCGGUGUACUGGCUACGGCAGUUCAAAUCCACCAGGCGCUCCUUGGAAACUCUAUGGGGCAGUUCUACUCUGUCCUAUAGGGUCGCUAUGAGUCGGAAUCGAUUCAAUGGCAGUGGCUUUGCUUUUUUGUUUAUACGAAAUCACCUCUCUCUAUGACCCAUAAACGGGGUUUUUCAAUAUUACAUACAAUCUCUCCCAAGGUUCCAUUGUGGUUUCUCCAACCAUUCCGUGGAGUUGGAGAGAGUGAAGGAAAGGCACUGAGGAGUAAGAUGGGAGAGAAUAGAACGUGACUCAGCCAUUGCAGAAGGGAGGCCGAAAUCAAAGCCUGAAUUUGAGAAGCUGGGAUCAAAAUCUGCCUGGGAUCCUAAGGGAGAAGGAAGCGGCCCCACCCUGCCCAGCUCAAGCUGAUACUGGAAUCAGGGCCAGAUGGAGACAGUGCACCUGCUCCACCCGCAGGCUUCCCAAGGCACAAGCAUGGGGCAGACCAGCCCAACAGCCAGUUAAACAGGGAGGGUUCUGAGAUAAACCUUCCUCCCCCAGCUCCUUGCCAAGGGUGGGAGCGAAAACCCCUGGUGUCAUACACAAAGGUAACAAGUCUCCAAGGCAAAAAGAAGCUUAGAGACCUUCAGAUCAUACCCAGAAAACCAAGUAUACCGGAGUUACUGAAAUCUCAAAGCUAGUUAAUGAGAAACCUUGAACUUGAACUCUUUUAUAAUGCCCCCCUUUCAGAACUUGAACUAACUCUUUUAAAAUACUCUUUCAUAACAAGAGGAAUGUGUCAUGUUUAUAAGGUGAACUUUUGAUGCCUUAAUUUCCUCUCCUGUAAUGCAACAGUAAUAUGGUAGUUCAUCUUACUCCUUCUGAAUCUUAAAAGGGCAGAAUUUUAAUAAAGAAUAUAAAAGCAGUAAGUGGAUUAUUAUAAUUUUUUGCCAAGUCAGUGGAUGCUUAAAUCCUCUUAAAAUACCUUCUUAGCCAUCUAGGCAACAAGAGUUAUGAAGCUAUUCUUACCCUUUGACCCUAUAAUAUCACUCCUGGUUAUAUACCCACCAGAGAAAUAACCCAGAAGCUAAGAAGUAUUUUAUCCCAAGUGUUCACAGAGGGCCAUUUAUAACAGUGGAAACUGGAAAGAUCCCAAAUGCUGAACGCGAUGGAAUGACUAAGGAGCAGGCAGGACAAACAAUAGUACUCAACACAGCUUUGAAGCAUGGGGCCUAAGCAGCACUCACCAGUGUUCAGGAGGGGUCAUCGUAAAGACCCACCCCUAAGAGCUGCCUGGGUUCCCCUGAGAGGGGAACAGGUUCCAUGAUCUAUGGCCAGGACAAGGACCCAAUGCCCCAC